rnacentral:piRNA from 1 species
UCCUGAGUUUUUACACCCCUC